rnacentral:rRNA from 1 species
UUGCAUCGAUGAAGAACGCAGCGAAAUGCGAUACGUAGUGUGAAUUGCAGAAUUCCGUGAACCAUCGAAUCUUUGAACGCAUAAUGCGCUCGAGCCCUCGGGAUUACAGCAUGUCUGCCUCAGCGUCG